AAAACCAAGAUGAGGGGUUGGGCCGAUCCCGGUCACUCGCUAGGCUACAUGCCCAAAAAGAAUUCCUUAAAGCCACUGCUCUUGCUGCAGAACGCACUUUUGAAUCUGAGGAAUCCAUUCCUGAGCUGGAGGAGGCCUAUUCCAAGUUCCUGACCAUGUAUCCAAAGUACAACUCCUCAGGGAAGAUUGAUGAGCUGAGGUCAG
rnacentral:misc_RNA from 1 species